rnacentral:rRNA from 1 species
GAUGAACGCUGGCGGCGUGCCUAAUACAUGCAAGUCGAGCGAACAGAUGAGGAGCUUGCUCCUCUGACGUUAGCGGCGGACGGGUGAGUAACACGUGGAUAACCUACCUAUAAGACUGGGAUAACUUCGGGAAACCGGAGCUAAUACCGGAUAAUAUAUUGAACCGCAUGGUUCAAUAGUGAAAGACGGUUUUGCUGUCACUUAUAGAUGGAUCCGCGCCGCAUUAGCUAGUUGGUAAGGUAACGGCUUACCAAGGCAACGAUGCGUAGCCGACCUGAGAGGGUGAUCGGCCACACUGGAACUGAGACACGGCCCAGACUCCUACGGGAGGCAGCAGUAGGGAAUCUUCCGCAAGGGGCGAAAGCUUGACGGAGCAACGCCGCGUGAGUGAUGAAGGUCUUCGGAUCGUAAAACUCUGUUAUUAGGGAAGAACAAAUGUGUAGUAACUAUGCACGUCUUGACGGUACCUAAUCAGAAAGCCACGGCUAACUACGUG